UGCUUGAAACUCAAAGAAUUUGGCGGUGUUUUAGUCUAUUUAGAGGAAUCUGUUCCGUGAUCGAUAAUUCACGAAUUAUGCUACUUGGUUUUGUAAUGUAUCAGUUUGUAUACCGCCGUCAUCAGAUUAUCCUUUCAGGGUUGAUUUUCUUGAAAUUUAAUUGUAUUGUAUGUCAGGUCAAGGUGCAGCUAAUGAUUAAGUGGAAAUGGGUUACAAUGAAAUUAUUUAUACGGAUUUUGGUGUGAAAGACUUAUCGAAGGUGGAUUUAAUAGUAAAGUUGUUUUGUUAAUAUAUUGAUUUUAGCUCUAAAACAUGCACACAUCGCCCGUCGCUCUCGUUAUUAAGGUGAGAUAAGUCGUAACAAAGUAGAUGUACUGGAAAGUGUAUCUAGAAAGAUAUA
rnacentral:rRNA from 1 species